rnacentral:rRNA from 1 species
GACGGGGGGGGCAAGUGUUCUUCGGAAUUACUGGGCGUAAAGCGCGCGCAGGCGGUCUUCCAAGUCAGUGGUGAAAGCCCGGAGCUCAACUCCGGAACUGCCAUUGAAACUGUUGGACUUGAGUACGAGAGAGGUGAGUGGAAUUCCCAGUGUAGAGGUGAAAUUCGUAGAUAUUGGGAAGAACACCGGUGGCGAAGGCGGCUCACUGGCUCGUAACUGACGCUCAGGCGCGACAGCGUGGGGAUCAAACAGG